GAUGAACGCUGGCGGCGUGCCUAAUACAUGCAAGUCGAGCGAACGGACGAGAAGCUUGCUUCUCUGAUGUUAGCGGCGGACGGGUGAGUAACACGUGGAUAACCUACCUAUAAGACUGGGAUAACUUCGGGAAACCGGAGCUAAUACCGGAUAUUAUUUUGAACCGCAUGGUUCAAAAGUGAAAGACGGUCUUGCUGUCACUUAUAGAUGGAUCCGCGCUGCAUUAGCUAGUUGGUAAGGUAACGGCUUACCAAGGCAACGAUGCAUAGCCGACCUGAGAGGGUGAUCGGCCACACUGGAACUGAGACACGGUCCAGACUCCUACGGGAGGCAGCAGUAGGGAAUCUUCCGCAAUGGGCGAAAGCCUGACGGAGCAACGCCGCGUGAGUGAUGAAGGUCUUCGGAUCGUAAAACUCUGUUAUUAGGGAAGAACAUAUGUGUAAGUAACUGUACACAUCUUGACGGUACCUAAUCAGAAAGCCACGGCUAACUACGUG
rnacentral:rRNA from 1 species